ensembl:lncRNA
UCUAUUUCAGAUUUGCUCGCAUGACUUAAGAAACUUCAAAACUGUGUACCCUGCUUGCACAGCUCCGAAUUGGUAUGCAGAGGUGGCUAUUGCUACUGUGGUUGCCUUAUUACAGAAGUCGGCAAUGGCCACCCUCCCGGGGUGUGCCUGUGAAGACCGGAAAGGUAAAAGCAAGAAGACAGGAGAGGCCACCUUCACACACCCUUUCAAAUUGAUUAACCUUUAUGGCACGACAGCAUUGGACAAUAUUUUAAAAGUUCAAAAGAAGUUUUCUUCCUAAACAUUUACUUAGCUUUUGGCCUUGAGUUGAAGAGAAUCAAAGAUAUACACCAUUCCUAGAACCUAGAUACAAGAUCCAGGGGUUUUUUCCAAACCAGCAACUCUUGCAGAAUAUUCAUGAAACUCUACGGUGUGCGGCCAAGAAGACACCUGAACUCAAGCUGCAGAUCUGAUACGACUUCCCAAUGCGAUGGUGUAUGACGUGUGAGCCCUAAGUCCUGAAAGCUACACUCUUUAGAACAUGCUUCACACAUUGUAUUGGACCUGCCUUCUGAAUACUUUCUCUCCACGACUGUGGGUCCUGCUUAUAAAGCCUGUGCUGUCUUCAUCAAAGAACCUCCAGCAUCUAGCAUGACGCCUGGUGCAUAGCUACGUCACCGGCAUGACAGACGAGACACAAGUCCCAGGAGGGCAGGGCGUCUGUAGGGUUUGCUCACUGCUCUGUCCCAGUGCCUGGCACGUAGAGGUGCUCAGCAAGUAUUUGCUGAGUGAGCAUCAGGCCGUUGAGGAGUGGAAAGUCAAGUUCUCACCACCCAGAGGCGUGCCCCAGGAUUUCUCAGAUUGUUUCACUUGCACAGACUGAGGUAGCUUUAGCAGGAGGGAGGAUGGGAAGGGUGAGAGGCAGUGGCUGUGAAAGGCAGGGAGGGUGAGGCAUCUUCAACCUUGACCGUCACUCUUACCCUGAUACAGACGGGGCUCCAGCAGCCCAGCCACCUACUCUCCUGCCGACCACUGAGAUCUGAGAGUCAGGAAGCCAAGCUGCCUUUCUACAGAGUGAUGCUGCUUCAGAAGAUGACCGGAGCGUCCUUGUCGGCAGCCCCUCUGUCUCACACAUUGCAACUGCUUCCCACGCAGUCCUGCCCUGAUGCUCCCAGCCUUGCCCUUAAGUGACCCUGAAAGCUGCCUUUUUCCAGAUGAGGAGACGCAGCACAUUUUUGCCAUUGGCAGGCUCCCUCGGGCCAGGAUUCCUAAAUAGAUUUAAAUCGAACAACUUAUCUCUUGGAAACUGAUUAGCACCCUGAUGUUUGCUCAGCUGCCUAUGUUGAAAUCUACUCUUAUCCAUCAACUAGCAGAUAUGGAAUACCUCCUGGGAGUCUGGGACCCUGCUAGGUCCAGAGAAACAUGAAGUAGUCCACACCAGGAAGCAGUUUCCUCCUUGCCUGGGGAGGCCCGAGAAAGUAGAGGACAGCAGCUAGGUGCUUCAUCAUGUGACAUGUGACAUGGGUGCCAAGGUCGCAGCAGUUGAGGGACUGGAGGGUGACUGGGGAUGGCAGUAGGUGGGGGCUGUGAGGCUGAGACUCAAGCAGAUGGAGCACAGAAGUGGGGAAACACAGUCGUGAGGGUGGCUGGGAGCACAGGCAUGGGGGCAUGAUGUCUCAGGACACCUCAAGGAGGCCUGCCUGGAUAGAGCGCGUGUGCCAGGACACCUGGUCGACAGGGCUGACUAGCUGGGGCAGGGCCAGCCGCCAGGGGCCAUGGAAGGCCGUGACGUAUGAAGAAUUACACGGGUGAUUCUGAGAGGUCAACUUGCUCAGCAGGCAGAAUGGGAAACAGACCAGAGGCUGCAGGGACACCAACCAGAGAGGAGUGUGGCUGGCACGAGGUAGUGCAGGCUGGUCUGGGGUAGAUGGGGUGGGAAAGAAAGGAUAAGGCGAGGUAAGAACGGCAGGAUGUGGCGACAGAGUGGGUGCACUGGACGACAGAAAGAGAGGCUUUGGGCCCCAUGAGGUAAGAGGGGUCAAAAGUUUAGGGCAAAAUUCAAUGACACAAAAUUAGCAAGAGAGCUGUUUAAUUUCUUUUUAAAAAAAAUUGCAUCAUCUUUUUAAAUUAUGGUAAAAUACACAUAACAUGAAAUUUACCAUUUUAGACAUUUUUAAGUGUACAGUUCAGUGGCAUUAAGUACUUUCAUGAUGUUGCAUAACCAUCACCAGCACCCAUCUCCGGGACUCUUUCAUCUUCGUAAACUGAAGCUCUGUCCCCAUUAAACUAACUCCCCAUCCCAUCCCCAUCGCCCCUGGCAACCCCCAUUCUGCUUUCUGUCUCCAGGAAUCUGAUUCCUCUAGGGACCUCUUAUAAGUGGAAUCUUACAGUAUUUGUCCAUUUGUGACAGGCUUACUUCACUCAGUGCAACGUCCUAAAGGUUCAUCCAUGAUGUAGCAGGUGUCAGAAUUCCCUCCCUUUUUAAGACUGAACAGUAGCCCAUUGUAUGCAUAUACACAUUUUGUUUACCCAUCAUCUGUUGAUGGACACUUGGGUUGCUUCCACCUUCUGACUAUUGCGAAUAAUGCUGAUACGUAUAUGUGUGUACAAAUAUCUGUUCGAGUUCCUGCUUUCAAUUUAUCUUUCUCUUCUUGCAUUUUAUGAUAAGCAAAUCAAGUCAUUUCUUCAACAUUUUGCUUAUAAAUCUCUUCAGGUAAAUAUCCAGUUUUAUUGCUUGAAAGUUUUACCUUCCGCGAAACACUGGAACACAGAUCAUCCAAGUUCUUUGCCUUUUUAUACUAAGGAUCGCCUUUCCUCCAGUUUCCAAUAAGAUGUUCCUCAUUUCUGUGCGAGACUUUAUAAGAAAGGCCUUUAACAUCCAUAUUUCUGCCAGCAUUCUGUUCAUGACGAUAAAGGUAUUUUCUAAGAUGACAGAGGCUCUCUCUAGCUCUUCUCUUUCCUCCUGAGUCCUCACCAGAAUCGCCUUUAACAACCACGUAUCUCCCUAUAGUCACUUUAAGGCAAUCCAGGAUUUUUCUGGCAUGCAUCUUAAAACUUCCACCUCUACCCAUCACCCAGCUCCAACACCACUUCCACAUAUUUAGAUCUUCAUUACAGCAGCACCUUGCUUCUCAGCACCCAAAUCUGUAUUAGUCUGCCUGCAGACUAUGUGGCUUGAACAAUCGGAAUUUAUCUUCUCACAGUUCUGGAGGCUCGAUGUCCAAGAUGAAGACGCCAGCAAAUUCAGUUCCUGGCAAGAGCUCUCUUCCUGGCUUGCAGGCAACCACCUUCUUGCCAUGUCCUCACAUGGCCUCUGCUCUGUGCAUACGCGGAGAGAGAGAGAUCUCUUCUUAGAAAGACACCAGUUCUAUCAGACUAGGGUCCCACCCUUAUGACCUCAUCUAACCUUAAUUACCUUCUUAAAGGCCCUCUCUCCAAACACAGUCACACUGGGGUUUAGGGCUUCUACAUAUGAAAUUUGUUCCACAGCUCAGUCCAUAACAGCAUACAUCUCAUGGCCUUGUUUAGCUGGCUGUGACAUCAUGAAAUGAGUGCUGGACCUCAGUCAGGUCAAUUUCUCCCCUCAUCCAAGCCCGUCCUCCUUGGAAAGCCAUUUAACCACAAUGGGUCUCAGAAACGUCAUGGGGGAAAACGUGACCUUUUCUCAGAGUUGCACGAAAGGUUAAAUCCAAUCAUGAACGUGGAGACAUUUUAGUACCCCAAGGAAUUCCUAGUCACAGCCUUUGAGGUCCCCGCAAUGGUCUAACAGUCAAAUGACCAAAGCCUGUCUCUAUCCUCAUCGCUGGGCACACUCUUCACACUGACCUCUUGCCUGCUAGUAAGUGCGGGAGGAGAGCAUCCUCUUUUUAGGCACUGUUUGGGAAGAGAGAUGGAGGAUGGCAAACACUUUGUCUCAAAGGAGUCUCAGCUGUGUUCGGUCUCAGCAGGACCUGAGUGGGUGGUGGUGUCUGCCGUGGGUGUGGGGAGUGGGGCCAGACGUAGCCCAGACCAGCUGCGGCUCUGGUGGUCAAUCACUAGGCUCCUGUUUUUCAAUUUUCUAGGCUCUCAGUAACCCUCUUAUCACUCUCCAGUGCAGGAUUUGUUUUUCAAGGAUAUGGAAUCCUAAUGCCAGAAGGCGGUAAGCACUUUUUAAUGAUCAAACCUAAAACCACUGUCCUGUCAAUCCCCUGUAUAUAUGGAAAUGAGCAGAGUGCCUUACACUAAGUGAAUGUUUCAUGAGUGAAUUCCUGCAUGCACACACGAAGCACUUCUGAGGACGCAUUGCUAGCCUUCAUGCCUCCAGCAUUGUACCUUGAAUUACAAAGCAGAUAGAAGAGCAGACCGCCACAGGUCAUCCAGACAAGACAGAUACUUCCGAUAACUAAACCAAUACACAGUGACCAGCAGAUUUACCCACGUUUACAUGCACUCCCCUUCUGGUUGCUCUCACAGCGAUUUUUCAGUCUGCCAUUCAGCACUUCCCAUGUGAUAUUAUAUUACAUAAUUCUGCUUGUCGUUCUUACUAGACAAUGAACUCCCUGAGGGCAGGCAGCACCUCAUUCGUCUGUGUUGCUGAAGCCUGGCACACAGUCUCUUCCAUCAUUCGGGUCGUGUGUGGGAUGAUUCAACAGGUGAACGGGGAGGGGUGCCGUCCAGCUCCCAGGGCUGGCGAUGUGAGCGAUGUCUUCCCCUCCUCAUUCCUUUCUCCCACAUCUCAUCACCUAAGGGUAGCAAAGCAGGCACCACUUGAUUUAUUUUGGUCUUUGUGUCUGCACACGCAUACAUUAGCUGGCUUUUUAAAAAGAGGUGGCUCAUGGAAAGACUGGAAUUAGAUGUUAUUUUGGAUGCUCGCAGAGCUAAUUAUGGGAUUAGAAAAAUGCCCUUCCCCUGAACAGGAAUUGUGAUGCUUCCUAUUUCUUAAUGUAAAACAUGAAGUAAACAUAAUUUACUGUCAUUUUUAAUGUUCCAGUACAUUUCAGAGACCCAUUUAAGAUACAUGAUUUUCAAAUGCGAGAUCAGCAGGGUGGGAAAGCCUCUAUGGAAUUAAUGUGCUACAACGUAUUCGAAUAGCUGUAACUCCAGGGCCGGCCUUGAUACUUGUUUUGUUGCCAUCAGGGAGGGAAGCACAAGAACACAUAAACAGGGCCUUGCCAAUGGGAUGUGUUCUCCCUGGGCCGUUAAUUCAAAUGCUCAUUUUCUAGCUCAACCCAGAUGAUCAGAGAGGUUACAAGACAAGCCGCUGAAAUGUUUAUUGUGACGAACGUGUAGCGGGUGGGACAGGAGGAGGAGUGUAAAAUAUGAGUGUGUUCAGCUUUAGAUAUAUACAGAGGAGAGAUGUUGAAAUCUGUCAGAUAUAACGAAGAAGUGUUUUAAAAAUAGAUACACAUGGUUAAAAAUAGAUACACAUGGUUAAAACUCAAAACAAGUGAAAAAAUUUUAAUAAAAAUCUACACGUUAGGACCUACAAUUAGAAUAUACAGCUAUUUACUGGGGGGCUUUGGGGAGAAGAAUUUAAAAAAAAAAGAAGACUGGCAACAGAUGUUAGCUCAGGUGCCAAUCUUUCAGAAAAAACAAAACAACAACUACAUGUUAAAAAGUCGUUCUCCCACCUCUUAUUUAGUAGUUUCUGGAAUGUCUCUCCAGCACUCCUUUAUGCAUAAAUGGAUAUAUUUUAUUUUCCCCAAAAAAGUAAGAUUAUAAAGGAGGAAUGUUCAUUGCAGAUCACGUUUAUUUUGUACUUACGACACGCUCUAAGCGUCCAUUGAAUCCUGACCUCGAUCCUGAGAGGUGAGCACGGUUACCACCCCCUCUACAGCUGCAGAGACUGAGGCAAGCACACCCCGAGGGAGGUGACUCCCACAGCAGGUGUCGAGGCAGGAUCUGCACCGGCCGGGUUUGAGCUCCCAACCUCUACCCCCUUGCCCUCAGACAGAGAGAAAAAUCUGCAGAGUUUCUAUUAUCUCCAAGGAGACAAACCAUUUCUCCCCAGGUCCUAGAAGACAGGCCAGGGAAGUCCCUGGAACAUGAAGAGUGGAGCAGCAAAGAGUGUCCCCAGCCAGAGAGCCACGGUGGGGAGGUCAGUGCCGCGGUCGUUUCAGCAUCUGUGAGGGAGACCCACGCUGCCUGCAAAUCAUGUCCAGGGUGUGGUGGAAAUGCACAUCAACCUGGGUGGUCCUGCUGUCUAUUCCAGGAUAAAAUCCAAGCCUGCUGGAGGGUCAGGACAUAGCGGUGAAUUUAUGUGCCCAGCACCUAGUCUCUCACAUACAAGAUGCUGAAUGAAUGGAUGCCCAGAACGAGAGAUGGAACCAUUCACUAAUCCAUUAAACGAACAAUUGACAGCCACUAUGGGCCAGAUGCUGGACUAGAAUGGUAGGGAUACGGGGGUGAACAGGACAUGCUUCUGCCUCAAGGAAUCUGCUGUUUAGAGAAGAACACGCAGGCACACAGGAUGCCGCGACGUGGUGUUGUGAAUGUUGUGGCGAUGGUACAUGCACGGGGGGGGGCACCAAGAUGGCCACUGUGUCUGUCAGGAAGUUGAAAGUAUACAGCCUUUGCUGACUAAUAUCGUCACAGCCGUGGGAAAGCUGCUUCGUGUGGAGUGGAGGAAAAGGUCACUGGAGUGGAGAAAGUCAAGGAACUGAGAAGUAGACUGUCAGCUGGGCCAGCCAUAUAGACAUCGAAGUCACCAGAGUCGCGGUAGGACGUAGUAUAACGAAGACAAUGAGCAGUUGCCGAAGCCUCUAGAGCACAAGCGAGGGAGACUGAUCAGGAGGGUUAGGCGACAGCACAUCAGAGGGACAGGGUGUAGACUAGCCAGCCUGUGUGAGUCUCAAAGCUGUACAAGUGACAAGGAAGGGACAACUCCUCGUGCUGACCCUGAGGCUUGAGGAGAAUGAAGAGCAGCCAUAGGUGAGGGCUGCUGGGAAAGGGAUCCCUGACAUCCUCAGGAGAGGCCAACUCUGCCAAACACGUACAGGUGGGGAGUGCGCAGUGGGAGGCUCGAGGAUAGGGGUGUCCGUAGGUGAUGGGCCAGGAACUGCAAGAGAGGAAGGAAGGCUGGAUCAGGGCAGGAAGCUUCCAGCUCUCUGGAGGGGAAAAUAUUUUCAUAUCAAAGAUUUGUGAUGUGGUUGAACCAAGAGAAGGACAUAAUGUUAUAAAAAUAUACAUUGCUAAACACAAGUCAUAAUCAAUUUAUAGUGAUAAUUCCUAUCUACCAUGUUCAAGUAAUCUGUGUAACAUAUUCAUGCCCCACAUUUUAAUCUUGCUAACCCUAAGGAUAAGAAGAUAAGAGAUGAUAGAUGAGAAAGAGGGCUUCCACGCUGGGUGAUAAGAAAGGAUGGCAGGGCCGGGCUGUGGCACAGCAGUUAAGUUUCUCUGUUCCACUUCUGCCGCCCGGGGUUCGCUGGUUGGAAUCCCGGAUGCAGACCUACACACCACUUAUCAAGCCAUGCUGUGGCCAUGCUGUGGCAGGCAUCCCACAUACAAAGUAGAGGAAGAUUGGCAUAGAUGUUAGCUCAAGGCCUAUCUUCCUCAGCAAAAUGAGGAGGGUUGGCAGCAGAUGUUAGCUCAGGGUGAAUCUUUCUUAAAAAAAAAAAAGAAAAAGAAAAGAAAGGAAAGGAAAAGAAAGAAUAGGGACAUGUGAGGUGUGGUGGCUGUGUUAGGCAGUAGGAGUUCCCCAUAUGUUGGUCCCUGUAGAUGGGAGCAUGUAAGCCCCUCAGGAGUCAGGAAGCUGGCCCAGGAGAGCAGGCCAAUGACAGGAUUAACUGAUCCUAUUGGGGACAGCAACGGGCCCUGAGGGAGGGAAGGAAGAGCAGGGUCCAAGACCCCAAGAAUGGGGUACAGGAGAGAACAAGGAGGUGAGCCACCUGCCUCAAAGGACAGGCGACCUAAAAGAGAUUACACUAUAUUGAUGCUCCAUCUAAAUAUUCAUUUCUGUACACAAGUGCCUCAGAUCAAAAGCUCAAAAUGUCUUCCUCAAGUUUCUUCAUGAAAAAAGACUCUGAAAGAAAAGGCAAUUACUAGCAUGAGUGAUGGCAAGUAACGAGAACGAGUCGGUAAGAGAAGAGGACAGUAUUCUGAAUGGGGAUUCACAACGGGCUUCAGUGAUAUCCUCGGGCGAUGAUUAGACUCUGCACUGCGACAUGCAGAGCAGAUGAAAGUGCACCAAAAGGGGAUGCGCAAAAGAAACUGGACACAGACUAACGGAUUGCCAGAACAGCACCAGAGCUGAGGGAAGGGACCCAGCACCAGGGGACACUCGUGCUCUGGGGAGCGAGUCUGCUUGCUGUCACUGUGCACCACUGCGAAGACUCUGAGGGGUUAGGAGCUCUCCACCAACCAGUGCAUGCCAACCAAAGACCCCAGGAGUGGGCGACACGCUUAAGACCCAAAAGGAGACUAAGAAAUAAACAGGUCUAGAAGACAGGACGUCACCAUGAGAAUCGACAUUUACGGGUCAGAGGCAAUCACAGAGGAGGACCUGGGGCCUCAGUGAGGAGCGAGUCCUGUCCUCAGUUACUUGGACCAAACAGUAUUCU